rnacentral:misc_RNA from 1 species
GAUGAAGAACGUAGCGAAAUGCGAUAAGUAAUGUGAAUUGCAGAAUUCAGUGAAUCAUCGAAUCUUUGAACGCACCUUGCGCUCCCUGGUAUUCCGGGGAGCACGCCUGUUCGAGUGUCGCGAUAUUCUUCAAGCCUUGGAUGGAUUUUUUUUUUGUCUGUCCUUGGGCUUGGUUGUUGGGCUCUGCCGUGUCCUUCAUUGGGACGGCUGGCCUUAAAAGCAUUAGCCGAUCCUCGUGUUGUACUGGUUCUACUCAGCGUGAUAACAAUCUGAUCGUUGAGGACAUCUUCUGGAUGGCCAGUCAUCAUUUGGGUUGCUUCUAAACCGGUUUCGCAGAUUGCUCAAUCUGUGUGCCACUUUUCAGCUUUGACCUCGAAUCAGGUGGGACUACCCGCUGAACUUAAGCAUAUCAAUAAGCGGAGGA